GAAGCUACGCCCGAUUACUGUGUGGAUUAAGCGGCAAAACUUGUUUAUAACAUGGGACCAUUACGUUAGAUAGGAGUAGUAUGGUCCUCACCAAAUACUCCCUCCUAUAAUCCUAUUCCUUUUUCUGCUUCAUAAGUUGGAAGUUUGCCAUCUUUGUAGCGCCAUCCCCUUUUUUUAUUCCUGCGCAUGCGUUUUUCACUCGAGAUUUGAUACUGCUUGGGGUCUGUUUCCACCUGAAUCUAGCUAGGUUCUGGUUGCUUGUUUUCUCGCUUCAGAUAGAUAUUAUUGUUUAUAUUAAUUUGAAACCCUAUUCUAGCCAUAAGAGAGGUCGCUUUUGGCAUGAGUGGCUGAGUGCAGAGUUUUCCAGCUCUAAAGUCUUGUAAAAAAAUUUGGUCCCUUACAUCCCUAGUACUGAUGGGUCUUUGGAUCAGAAAACCACAAAUUUCAAUAUGAUCUUUGAAAAAAAGUUCUAGCAUUUCAAUAUCUAGAUCGAACUCUCUCCAGAUCAGAAAUUAUAUUGUCAAACAGGUUUGGGCGCGCGUGCUUCCAAUAACCCUUCUUUUCUACUGGAUAGAGUUUGGUUUGUGCCUGAUCUUAAAUAAACAACAAUUUAUAAUUUCAAUACUUGCAAAUCAAUAGAGAAAUAGAUGGCUUAUUCUUUUAUGAGUAUUUUGCUGAGAUCGGUAAUCUUUACUUGCUGUACGUUGUCUUUUGUGAUCAGUUCAGUUUGAUGUCUGGAUUCUGCAUGAUACAUGGAAUCGAAAAAUUCCACCCGAAAGAUCAGCUAGUCAUACUUUGUCAAUCAUUUUGCUUUGGGAUUCGUUCUUUCCAAGACCCAAGUACUGAUAAGUUUCAUCUGACCUUUCUGCAGGAGUUUAUCUCACGUAUACUGUAUUCAUUAAUGUAUUCGACAAUGUUGAUCUUAUAUAUCUGUGCGGUCUUUGACAUUUAUGUCUACUGCCAAAUGCCUAGGCCGCAAAAUGGAAUGUUCAACUAAUCCUAUGUUUUACAAGGAGUCCGUCAUCUUCGGCACCCUCAUUUCCUUCAUUUGCCUUUUUGACUUCAUCUCUGCCUAAAGAUAGUGUGGUGCACGCCACCUUCAACAGAGGAGUAGUUGGAUGACAAAUUUGUUGAUUUAUUGGAGCUUUUGUCUUUAAGGAAGUAAAUGACCAUUGGAUGAUGAUAUCAAUGUGAAUGAUAGGGCUUGAGGAUGGUCUUUUUGGUUGUUUUGAUACCCUAGGAGGAUGAGGUAUGAAUUGGAGAGGGAAGACAUAGCGAGCUCUUUUGAGUUAUUGGGCAAAAUUGGUGGUGGUGGUUUUGAAUAAGAUCGGGCAUUGGGGUUAGAAAUUUUGUUCUUUCUUUGGCCAACAGGUCAUGUCGAGGGUGGCAUUAGUUUCCCUAUUGGGGUUGGGUGUUAAGGAGUUUGAUUGUGAGGAGAUCUUAAUAUGAUGGGUGGUGAUGGCUGGUUUGUUGGGUUUUUGCUGGUUUGCAUUUUUGGGGUAGAUAGGUACUGUGGAUUGUGGUGGUGUUUGAUAAAGGUCUUUGGUAUGUUAUGAUAAAUGAUGAAUUCGAGUUUGGCGGCCAUGGAUGGUAUUUUCACAAUGGCUAGGAGGUGCAUAUAUACCAGGGGAUAAGGAAAGUGAUGGUUGUGGUUGAAGAAUGAAAUCGUAGUUCUUAUUGUCCAUCAAAACACUUUCUUUUUAGCUUUCAAAAAGUGUUUCUUAUUGACCUUGGAGAUAAUAAAGCUACCUUAUUUAAUUUGUGAAGCAAAAAGGAAAAGAAAUCUCAUAUAUAUGUGAUUAAUUAUCUGGUUCAAGAUAUUCGACAGGUUCAG